rnacentral:rRNA from 1 species
UACGGGGGGGGCAAGCGUUGUUCGGAAUUACUGGGCGUAAAGGGCGCGUAGGCGGUUUGCUAAGUUGGAUGUGAAAACUCUGGGCUUAACCCAGAGCCUGCAUCCAAAACUGGCAAACUUGAGUACUGGAGGGGAAAGCGGAAUUCCUGGUGUAGCGGUGAAAUGCGUAGAUAUCUGGAGGAACACCGGUGGCGAAGGCGGCGUUCUGGACUGCUACUGACACUGAGGAACGAAAGCCAGGGGAGCGAACGGG